rnacentral:lncRNA from 1 species
UUUUUUUUUUAACAUACUAGUAACAUAUAGCCGAAUCACUUUUUCAAGAAAUAAAAAGGUGAAAAGUUUGAUAAUUGUUUGUAAUAAUGAAAUAAUUAUAUAUCAAAGAGAAUAGUCAAAACUCAAAACGAUUAAAAUCGGGGAUUGGACUUUUUGAGCAUAUAAAAUAGAUAGGAUGGGAAUGGUCUCAAACUUUAAUGAUGAAGAAGAUAGAGAUUUACA